UUAUGGCUCAGGAUGAACGCUAGCUACAGGCUUAACACAUGCAAGUCGAGGGGCAGCAUGAUCGAAGCUUGCUUUGAUUGAUGGCGACCGGCGCACGGGUGAGUAACGCGUAUCCAACCUUCCCUAUAGUAGAGGAUAGCCCGGCGAAAGUCGGAUUAAUACUCUAUGUUUUCCAAUGCAGACAUCUAAGUUGGAACAAAGGUUCACCGCUAUAGGAUGGGGAUGCGUCUGAUUAGGUUGUUGGCGGGGUAACGGCCCACCAAGCCUACGAUCAGUAGGGGUUCUGAGAGGAAGGUCCCCCACAUUGGAACUGAGACACGGUCCAAACUCCUACGGGAGGCAGCAGUGAGGAAUAUUGGUCAAUGGGCGAGAGCCUGAACCAGCCAAAGUAGCGUGCAGGAUGACGGCCCUAUGGGUUGUAAACUGCUUUUAUACGGGGAUAAAGUGAGGGACGUGUCCCUUUUUGUAGGUACCGUAUGAAUAAGGACCGGCUAAUUCCGUGCCAGCCGCAGC
rnacentral:rRNA from 1 species